GUGGUACUCAGCAGCACACACACUAAGGAUUGAAACGAUACAGAGUUAGCAUGGCCCCUGAGCAAGGAUGAUAUGCAUAUUCAUGAAGUGUUCCUCUUUUUU